UACGUAGGGGGCAAGCGUUGUCCGGAAUUAUUGGGCGUAAAGAGCGUGUAGGCGGCCAGAUAAGUCCGCUGUGAAAUCUCGAGGCUCAACUUCGAGCUGUCGGUGGAAACCAUCUGGCUAGAGUCCGGAAGAGGAGAGUGGAAUUCCUGGUGUAGCGGUGAAAUGCGCAGAUAUCAGGAAGAACACCCGUGGCGAAGGCGGCUCUCUGGGACGGUACUGACGCUGAGACGCGAAAGCGUGGGGAGCGAACAGG
rnacentral:rRNA from 1 species